rnacentral:rRNA from 1 species
GCCACUGCUAUUGGGGUUCGGCUAAGCCACGCGAGUGGAGGGCGUCCCGCAAGGGAUGGCCCCGCAGACGGCUCAGUAACACGUCGUCAACCCACCUUAGGGUGGGGGACAACCUCGGGAAACUGAGGAUAAUCCCCCAUAGGCGGGGGAGGCUGGAAUGCGCCCCCGCUGAAAGCUCAGGCGCCCUAGGACGGGACGGCGGCCUACCAGGUAGUUGGUGGUGUGACG